UACGUAGGGGGCGAGCGUUGUCCGGAAUUAUUGGGCGUAAAGAGCGUGUAGGCGGUUCGGCAAGUCUGCUGUGAAAACCUGGGGCUCAACCCCGGGCGUGCGGUGGAUACUGCCGGGCUAGAGGGUGGUAGAGGCGAGUGGAAUUCCCGGUGUAGCGGUGAAAUGCGCAGAUAUCGGGAGGAACACCAGUAGCGAAGGCGGCUCGCUGGGCCAUUCCUGACGCUGAGACGCGAAAAGCUAGGGGAGCGAACAGG
rnacentral:rRNA from 1 species